AAAAGCGAGUGGCUGAAAUGAGAGCGGAUCAGGAACUCGCUCCUGCGCGACGGGUAGCUGCGAGGCAAAACGCCCCGGCUGCUGCCAGUUUCCCAGGAUCUGUCCAGGGAGAGCUGAGGGUAAUAGAGUAUGUCACCUCCUUAGACGAUAGGUGCCCUUUCACCAGGGCCAUGAACUUGGUCAUGUUCCCAGGAUCACCUCUCCCAGUCUAAUUACAAAGCCCGCAGGUCCAGAUCCUCAGGCUUACUUAACCUUCCUGCCAUUCUCCCAGGAAGCCAGGUAUUCUUCC
rnacentral:lncRNA from 1 species